UGGGCUAUAGCCAAGCGGUAAGGCAACGGACUUUGCCUCCGUCACUCGUUGGUUCGAAUCCAGCUAGCCCAGCCA
rnacentral:tRNA from 1 species